rnacentral:rRNA from 1 species
GACAGAGGGUGCAAACGUUGUUCGGAAUUACUGGGCGUAAAGCGUGUGUAGGCGGCUUUGCAAGUCAGGUGUGAAAUCCCCGGGCCCAACCUGGGAAGUGCACUUGAAACUGCAGAGCUUGAGUAUCGGAGAGGUUGGUGGAAUUCUCGGUGGAGAGGUGAAAUUCGUAGAUAUCGAGGGGAACACCAGUGGCGAAGGCGGCCAACUGGACGAAUACUGACGCUGAGACACGAAAGCGUGGGGAGCAAACAGG